UGCAAAUGAGGGAUAGAUUCUUUAUCCCUAGUGCGUAAAUCAAUUUUCUCUCGCCAGCUGGGUUAAUUUGCAGUCCAACUUUUUCAGACAUCAAGAUGAACUCCCGUGGCAAAAACCACCGAGGAGGAGGCUGCUUUCUAACUGCAUCAUGGCUAAUCAACUGGUUGUACGGUGCUGUAAUACCUUGGUAACUCAAAAAUCAGAUUUUCUUGUAAAUUCAAUCAUAUAAGGAUCAAAUCCUGAAUGCCUUUUCAGGCCAAGCAAUUUACAUUAAACUUUCCAUUCUACAAUGUUUACUUCUCUCUUCUCCUUCCACGUUAU
rnacentral:lncRNA from 1 species